rnacentral:lncRNA from 1 species
AGAAUGUGGUUCAAAAUCGAUCACGAGCCUAAGUGCCCUCUUAACGAAAAGUACAGUUUUCAACCAAAUGCAGAACUCCUGUAAGAUUGAGUUUGACUCUGGAACCAAAAUUAAGAUGAGUUAAACAACAAAAAGUAUAGUACUAGCAUAGCUGGUAGACUUACGGCAUAGAGAUGUCUUCUCUAAUUUUACUAAAGGUUGUCCCAAUUGUGUUCUAAAUUUUAUUCUUCAAAGUGAGUUUAAUCUAACAAUGGCUUUUGUGGCUCAUGGGUUCUUUCAGAUUGUUGCUAUGGCUUGUAUUAAUCUUGCAUCAAAAAUCGAAGAAGCACCUAGAAGAAUAAGAGAUGUGAUUAAUGUAUUCCACCACCUCCGCCAGUUAAGAGGAAAAAGGACUCCAAGCCCCCUGAUCCUUGAUCAGAACUACAUUAACACCAAAAAUCAAGUUAUCAAAGCAGAGAGGAGGGUGCUAAAGGAGUUGGGAUUUUGUGUUCAUGUCAAGCAUCCU